rnacentral:tRNA from 1 species
UCCUCGUUAGUAUAGUGGUGAGUAUCCCCGCCUGUCACGCGGGAGACGCGGGGUUCGAUUCCCCGACGGGGGA